UUUCUUUUUAGUAACGACCAGAAGGCUUUUUUUAAAAAAAAUUAAUAAAUUGUAACAACGUUUCGGAGUUUACUCCAUCAUCAGGUUACAUUUAUACGCACGUAUAAAUGAUGAUGGAGUAAACUGAUAAAUGGAGUUUAUGAUGGAGUAAACUCCGAAACGUUGUUACAAUUUAUUAAAUUUUUUUUAAAAAAAGCCUUCUGGUCGUUACUAAAAAGAAAAUUAUUACAUUUAAAUGAGGCUUAGAGAAAGUUCGCUUCUAAUCACAUUG